rnacentral:rRNA from 1 species
GAUGAAUGCUGGCGGCGUGCCUAAUACAUGCAAGUCGAGCGAACAGACGAGGAGCUUGCUCCUCUGACGUUAGCGGCGGACGGGUGAGUAACACGUGGAUAACCUACCUAUAAGACUGGGAUAACUUCGGGAAACCGGAGCUAAUACCGGAUAAUAUAUUGAACCGCAUGGUUCAAUAGUGAAAGACGGUUUUGCUGUCACUUAUAGAUGGAUCCGCGCCGCAUUAGCUAGUUGGUAAGGUAACGGCUUACCAAGGCAACGAUGCGUAGCCGACCUGAGAGGGUGAUCGGCCACACUGGAACUGAGACACGGUCCAGACUCCUACGGGAGGCAGCAGUAGGGAAUCUUCCGCAAAGGGCGAAAGCUUGACGGAGCAACGCCGCGUGAGUGAUGAAGGUCUUCGGAUCGUAAAACUCUGUUAUUAGGGAAGAACAAAUGUGUAAGUAACUAUGCACGUCUUGACGGUACCUAAUCAGAAAGCCACGGCUAACUACGUG